GAUGAACGCUGGCGGCGUGCCUAAUACAUGCGAGUCGAGCGAACGGACGAGAAGCUUGCUUCUCUGAUGUUAGCGGCGGACGGGUGAGUAACACGUGGAUAACCUACCUAUAAGACUGGGAUAACUUCGGGAAACCGGAGCUAAUACCGGAUAAUAUUUUGUACCGCAUGGUUCAAAAGUUAAAGACGGUCUUGCUGUCUCUUAUAGAUGGAUCCGCGCUGCAUUAGCUAGUUGGUAAGGUAACGGCCUACCAAGGCAACGAUGCAUAGCUGACCUGAGAGGGUGAUCGGCCACACUGGAACUGAGACACGGUCCAGACUCCUACGGGAGGCAGCAGUAGGGAAUCUUCCACAAUGGGCGAAAGCCUGACGCAGCAACGCCGCGUGAGUGAUGAAGGUCUUCGGAUCGUAAAGCUCUGUUAUUAGGGAAGAACAUAUGUGUAAGUAACUGUGCACAUCUUGACGGUACCUAAUCAGAAAGCCCCGGCUAACUACGUG
rnacentral:rRNA from 1 species